CAAGUCGCGUGCGCAGUUGCCGUAGCAAUACGGUGAUGGGCGCACGGCGCACGGGUGCGUAACACGUGGGCAAUCUGCCCUUUGAUGGGGAAUAACCCGCCGAAAGGCGGGCUAAUUCCGCAUAAGAUUCCCGAGACUUAGGUUUUGGGAUUGAAAGCAGCAAUGCGUCGAAGGAGGAGCCCGCGCCCGAUUAGCUAGUUGGUGAGGUAACGGCUCACCAAGGCUAUGAUCGGUAGCUGGUCUGAGAGGAUGAUCAGCCACACUGGAACUGAGACACGGUCCAGACUCCUACGGGAGGCAGCAGUGGGGAAUCUUGCACAAUGGGCGAAAGCCUGAUGCAGCGACGCCGCGUGGGGGAUGAAGCAUUUCGGUGUGUAAACCCCUUUCGACUGGGAAGAAUACCUCGCAAGAGGGGUGACGGUACCAGUAGAAGAAGCCCCGGCUAACUACGUGCCAGCAGCCGCGGUAAGACGUAGGGGGCCAGCGUUGUUCGGAAUUACUGGGUGUAAAGGGUUCGUAGGCGGUGCGGCAAGUUGGGAGUGAAAUCUCUGGGCUUAACCCAGAGGCUGCUUCCAAAACUGCUGUGCUCGAGUGUGAGAGAGGCUCGUGGAAUUGCAGGUGUAGCGGUGAAAUGCGUAGAUAUCUGCAGGAACACCCGUGGCGAAAGCGGCGAGCUGGAUCACUACUGACGCUGAGGAACGAAAGCUAGGGGAGCAAACAGGAUUAGAUACCCUGGUAGUCCUAGCCCUAAACGAUCAGGACUUGGGGUGCCGCCCGUUCGGGCGUCGUCCCGGAGCUAACGCGUUAAGUCCUGCACCUGGGGAGUACGGUCGCAAGACUGAAACUCAAAGGAAUUGACGGGGGCCCGCACAAGCGGUGGAACAUGUGGUUC
rnacentral:rRNA from 1 species